rnacentral:rRNA from 1 species
AGGAUCAUUACCGAAUUGUCAACACGAGUUGUUGCUGGUCCUCGAAUGGGGGCAUGUGCACGCUCUGUUUGUACAUCCACUCACACCUGUGCACCCUCCAUAGUUCUGCAGCCUGGGGGCUCUGUCCCCCCUGCUGUGGCCCUAUGUAUUUACACAUACACACUGUAAUGAAGUCUCAUGGAAUGUGUGACGCGUUUAACGCAGUACAAUACAACUUUCAGCAACGGAUCUCUUGGCUCUCGCAUCGAUGAAAAACGCAGCGAAAUGCGAUAAGUAAUGUGAAUUGCAGAAUUCAGUGAAUCAUCGAAUCUUUGAACGCACCUUGCGCCCUUUGGCUAUUCCGAAGGGCAUGCCUGUUUGAGUAUCAUGAACACCUCAACUCUCAUGGCUUGCCAUGAUGAGCUUGGACCAUGGGGGUCUUGCUGGCCUGCAGUCGGCUCCCCUCAAAUGAAUCAGCUUGCCAGUGUUUGGUGGCGUCACAGGUGUGAUAACUAUCUACGCUUGUGGCUUUCCGCCAGGUAACCUUCAGCAAUGGAGGUUCGCUGGGGCUCAUAAAUGUCUCUCCUCAGUGAGGACAGCUCUUUGAACGUUUGAUCUCAAAUCAGGUAGGACUACCCGCUGAACUUAA